rnacentral:rRNA from 1 species
AUUGAACGCUGGCGGCAUGCUUUACACAUGCAAGUCGAACGGUAACAGGCCGCAAGGUGCUGACGAGUGGCGAACGGGUGAGUAAUGCAUCGGAACGUGCCCAGUCGUGGGGGAUAACGCAGCGAAAGCUGCGCUAAUACCGCAUACGAUCUAUGGAUGAAAGCGGGGGACCGAAAGGCCUCGCGCGAUUGGAGCGGCCGAUGUCAGAUUAGGUAGUUGGUUGGGUAAAGGCUCACCAAGCCAACAAUCUGCAGCUGGUCUGAGAGGACGACCAGCCACACUGGGACUGAGACACGGCCCAGACUCCUACGGGAGGCAGCAGUGGGGAAUUUUGGACAAUGGGCGCAAGCCUGAUCCAGCAAUGCCGCGUGCAGGAAGAAGGCCUUCGGGUUGUAAACUGCUUUUGUACGGAACGAAACGGUCCGGGUUAAUACCCUGGGCUAAUGACGGUACCGUAAGAAUAAGCACCGGCUAACUACGUGCCAGCAGCCGCGGUAAUAC